CCAAGAAUAUUUCCUUCAAUCUGAGGCAGACCACAGCGUCUCCAGAAAAAACAGAAGAAAAACUAACUGCAGGCAUUUAACCAACUUCACUAAGCCUGUAACCCGUUCAGUCAUCCAGCCACUGGGGGCGCUGUUACGAAAGGACUGUCUGUGCAUGACUGGAGUGGAGCUGAAGCUGUCUACCUUUACGUCCCAAAACUUGAUGAAAACAUGAUAUGGAGAUUCCAGCUUCAGCGGCAGAUUCCCAAAACAUGACAGAGGAGAGGAAGUCGGCCUACAGGAGGAUGAGAGUCUUGGUAAAUCAGUAGAAGCUGAAGCUGAACCUUCUGCUGUACAAACAUGACGCAUCUCCAGAAAAACAAGUUUUUCUCCCUGCUGGUGUGUUUCCAUCUCUUCACGUGAAGCACAUAAAGCUCCUGUUUUCCUGUAAAACACCAACCUGACACCAGAAACCUGGAGAAAAGUCAAAGCUGGAACUUUUCCGAAGCAGCUGCAGCGUUUUCUGCUGAAGAUCCACGCGGCGAGAAACAUGGCGGCUGACUGAGGAGAACGGAGGCGAACGGCAGCAGCAGCUGGGAGUUUUUCCUGCCUCAGGAUUAUCUGCAGGUGAUCAACCAGGACGGGAGGAUCUGCUGCUCUGAUCCGGGUUGAUCUGCCAGCCUGCAGACGCAGAAGGGACCAACAUCAAAACAAAGUUCAUCACCAUAAAUGAUAAUAUCGUUGUUCUGGGACCAUUUUUAACCAAUAUAAUGCAAAAACACAUUUAAACUCUAAUCAACAUUAAACUGGAACAUGAUAAAUAUUCAAAAUAAACAAAACAACAAAUAAAGUGAAUUAUGAAGUAAACUAAAUUAUCCUUCAAAAAU